rnacentral:lncRNA from 1 species
UAGGUGCAUGUCGUACAGACCAUGAGAGGGUUCCGACAUGCUAGUCGUACAGAUCACUAGAGGUGGUUCCGACUAGUAGGUGACCUUAGAUUAUGUGCACAGAUGAUUGAUGAGGGAAGCACUAGAGCGUAUUAUUACACCAUUCUUGUUGUACAUACUACUUCAGGUAGUUCCGACUUAUGUGCAGAGUAGUGCCGUACAGGUCACCGUGGUGACUUCGGUUGGUUUGGAUAUUGAGCUAUGGAAUUAACCGUACAGGACCAACUGCAUGGUCUCCGGUUGAUUCAUUAUGUCACCUGUUAUAUUGAUGCAUUCUUAAUCUGUUAUUGACAUUUAUGGCAUGGCAUAUUUUCUGGGUUUUGAUAAAGAAUUAUGAUUUGAGAUAUAUGAAGAUUAUAUGCAUAUUAUGUUAUUUUCUGGGAAAGUAUACAGGUUUUACAGUGAGGGGUUAGAAAUGUUUUAAAUCAAAUGAUUUUUGAAAGGCUUUAUUUUUACUGACCCACUCAAUUUUGUUUUGCGCCCCUCCAGGUUCUAGUUAGCAGCGUUGGUGGCCCACGAGGAUUUCCACGGCAUUCUGACAGACUACUCAUGUAGGACUCACCUUCGGGUGUUGUAAUUUAGUAAUGUACCUACUUGACUGCACCUUGUACUUAGGCUCUGAAUAUGUGUGUUUCACACUUUAACUUACUCUAGCACGUUACUUGGUUAUUAUUGCUAAUAUUUGGUUUUUGUUUAUUCGUAUUUCUCUUAUCUAUUGCUUCUGCGUCGCACUUUUGGUUAUGUCAUGCCUACGUGACGGCCAGCAUGCCUUGAUUCUAGGAUCGGGGUAUGUCAGUUUGGUAUCAGAGCCUAGGCUGCAGUCUUGUAUAAAUUGUUAAUGCUCUAUUGAUCUUUUGAUGUCUUAUGUUAGAACUAUGCCGCCUCGUAGGGAAUCACAUCGUGCUUCUGAGCCUAAUUUCCCUGAUAUAACUCAAUUAGGGGAGGCGAUGGCCCAUGCCUUUCAGAAUGCAAUCCGUCCUCCUCCUCCUCAGAGGACACCCCUAGAGACUAUGUAUAAUCUGAAAUUGGACUGUUUCAUGGGUAAUGAUGGUCAUGAAGGGGCAGAAAAGUGGCUAGACCAUAUUGAGAAGGCUUUUCAGGUGAUGCAGAGUCAAGGGAAUCUUCCUUCUAAUAGAUAGGUUGAGACCACUACUUGGUUUUUGGGGCGAGAGCCAGCAGCUUGGUGGGUAAAUCAGACUCAGUUUAUGUCACCUGAGAUGGCAGCUGAUUGGGAAGUAUUCAAAGAGAAUUUUAAGAAAAGAUUUGUCCCUCCGGAGUACAUUGAUCGUAAGAAGCAGAAGUUCACUCAAUUGAAGGAAAAGAAUAUGUUGGCACAUGAGUAUUACAAGAAGUUUAUAGACUUGUCUCGUUAUGACCCUAAUACAGCUGGUAAUCAGGCAAAGAUGCUUCGCCGUUUUAAGCUGAGAACUAAGAGGAAAUGGCGGACUUUUGCUAGUGCGCUUCCUUGCACCACUUAUCAUGAGUUUUCUGAGAUUUUGGUUCGAAUGGAGGAUUCCGACAACCUUCCUAGUAACAGUGAGGAUGAUGAAGAUAAGAAUGAUAAUCAGAAGAAAGAUGAUAGGGGUAAAGGAAUCUCCACUCAGGGACCCCGUAAGACACAAAAUUUCAAGAAAAGUGAAGCGAGCUCGAGUUCUUCCAGUGGAGGAUUUAGUGUCACAGGCCCGAGGAAAGGUGGAAGAUUUGCUGGUGGACCCAGGUUUCAGAGACAGAGAGAUUUUGGUGGUGCUGGUGGUUCUGGUGCUCCGUUGUGCCGCCACUGUAAUUUCAGACAUCAUGUAAAGUGUAGGAGAAGUGGUGGUGCUUGCUACACUUGUGGACAGAUGGGACAUAGGGCUGCUCAGUAUCCCCAGAGUCAGCAGAGAUCUCAGCAGCCUGCUAUGCCACCUCCAGCGCUGAUUCAGCAGAACUUUGGAUCAGGCAGUUAUGGUCAGACGGGUCGUGGUGGUGCUUACCACUAUCAGGGUGAUGCUGCUCCCUAUGCUUCCGGACAGUAUCAGUAUUCUCAAGAUCGUUAUUCUCAGACUGGGUAUUCCCAAGACCCUGGGGGUUAUACUUUUUAUUCUUCCAUGCCAACUAGCGGGUCUCAGUCGCAUCAAGUAGGUCAGCCCCGACAAAGAGAGGUUGCUGCUAGUAGUGCAGGACCAUCUAAGUAGUCUAAUCAGCCGGGACAUGGACGUACUUCUCAGGGACGAGGUAACCAAGGUAACAAAGGUCGUGGUGGAUGACAGCAAGUUCAGGGACGUGUUAAUCACAUUUCACUGCAAGAUGCUCAAAAUCAUCCAUAUUUGAUUAUGGGUACGUUAAAUAUUCUUGGUCAUUUUGCUAGAGUUUUGAUUGAUUGUGGUGCUACACAUUCCGUGAUUUCUCAUAUGUUUGCUCAAAUGACUCAACCUCACCCUUCACCUCUAGGAUUUGAUUUAGAGUUUGCUAUGCCUAGAGGGGACAAAUGUUAUGUCGAUAGUGUUUAUCCAGGAAGUCCAGUGAUGGUAGAUGGUGUAGUUAUGCCAGCUAAUCUUAUCCCGUUAGAUAUUGUGGAUUUUGAUGUGAUUUUAGGGGCAGAUUGGUUGCAUUAUCAUCGUGCCCAUAUAGAUUGUUACGGGAAAUCAGUUACUUUUCAUCAUCCUGGACUACCAGCGAUUACUUUUAUGGGUGAAAGAGGUGGGGUGAGACAUGGUGUUAUUUCUGCCAUAAGAGCAAGUAAGUUAUUAUUGAAAGGUUGUCAAGGAUACUUAGCACAUGUGGUGUUAAAUGAUGUUGUUCCUAGCAAUGUGGAGGAAGUUGGAGUAGUCAGGCACUAUCCUGAUGUAUUCCCAGAUGAUUUGCCGGGAUUACCGCCAGAUAGAGAUGUGGAGUUUUCUAUUGAUUUGCUUCCAGGUACGGAUCCUAUAUUUUUAACUCCAUAUAGAAUGGCUCUAGCUGAACUAAGAGAGUUGAAAAUUCAGUUAUAGGAAUUAACUGAUAAAGGUUUCAUUCAACCUAGUACUUCACCUUGGGGAGCACCGGUGUUAUUUGUAAGAAAGAAAGAUGGAACUUUGAGAUUAUGUAUUGAUUACAGGCAAUUGAAUCGAGUGAUGAUUAAAAACCGUUUUCCAUUGCCUCGUAUCGAUGAUUUAUUUGAUCAGCUUAAAGCUGCGUGUGUGUUCUUUAAGAUUGAUUUGAGAUCUGGCUAUUAUCAGUUGAAGAUUAAAAAUGAUGAUGUACCUAAGACAGCUUUCAGGACCUGUUAUGGACAUUAUGAAUUUUUGGUGAUGCCAUUUGGAUUGACUAAUGCACCUGCAACUUUCAUGAGGCUAAUGAAUGAAGUAUUCCAGUAAUAUCUUGAUAGAUUUGUCAUUAUUUUUAUCGAUGAUAUUCUGGUAUACUCUAAGUCGAAAGCAGAUCAUAUUCGACAUCUUAACUUGGUAUUAAAGAAAUUAAGGGAGCAUCAAUUGUAUGCCAAGUUUAGCAAAUGUCACUUUUGGUUGAAUGAAGUGGCAUUUUUGGUGCAUGUAGUAUCGGCACAAGGAAUUCAAGUAGAUCCUCAAAAGAUAGCAGCAGUGGAGAAUUGGGGACAACCAUGAACCGUCACUGAAGUGCGGAGUUUUCUUGGUCAAGCAGGUUAUUAUCGACGGUUUGUUCAAGAUUUUUCUAUGAUUGCUUUGCCACUAACGAAAUUAACCAGGAAGGAUGUUAAGUUCGAGUGGGACGAGAAUUGUGAGCAAAGUUUCCAGCAGCUGAAAUAUUGCCUCACUCAUGCUCCAAUAUUGGUACUUCCUGAUGAUAGCGGUAACUUUGAGAUUUACAGUGAUGCUUCUUUGAAUGGUUUGGGAUGUGUUUUAAUGCAGCAUAAUAGAGUGAUUGCCUAUGCUUCUCGACAGUUGAAGACUCAUGAAAGGAAUUAUCCUACUCACGAUCUUGAGUUGGCAGCCAUUGUCUUUGCUUUGAAAAUUUGGAGGCAUUAUCUCUAUGGUGAGAAGUGUAAAAUCUUCACAGAUCAUAAGAGUCUUCAGUAUGUUUUUACUCAGCAUGAUCUUAAUCUUCGUCAGCGAAGGUGGAUGGAGUUAAUAAACGAUUAUGACUGCACUAUUGAGUAUCAUCUGGGUCGUGCAAAUGUGGUAGCUGAUGCACUGAGUAGGAAACCUCAAGGUCAACUCAAUGCUUUGUAUGCUUGCCGUGUUCUUCUUCUUGCAGAAUUGAGAGCUACUGGAAUAAAGUUGGAGUUCAAAGAUCGAAGAGAAGCUUUUCUUGCUAGUUUCCAAGUCAGGCCAGUUUUGGUUGAUCGUGUACUUGAAGCUCAGAUGGUUGAUGAACAAAUUCAAGAAAUGAUUCAAUUGAGAAGAGAAGGGAAAAAAAAGAUCUCAGGAUUCGAGAAUUAGAUGGCAUGCUUAUGCAAGAGAACAGAAUGUAUGUGCCGAAUAAUGAGGAAUUGAAGAAAGAAAUUUUGGAUGAAGCACAUUGUUCGGCUUAUGCGAUGCAUCCAGGAGGAACUAAGAUGUACCAUACCAUUCGACCAUUUUAUUAUUGGCCGGGUAUGAAAAGGGAAAUUGCAGAAUAUGUAAGUAGGUGUAUUGUUUGCCAGCAAGUCAAAGCAGAAAGAAAGAAGCCUUUUGGGCGGAUGCAACCACUUCCCGUUCUUCAGUGGAAAUGGGAAAAUAUAACAAUGGAUUUUGUGUAUAAGCUUCCUCGUACACAUAAUGGAUUUGAUGGUGUUUGGGUGAUUGUAGAUCGACUUACCAAGUUAGCACACUUCAUUCCCAUGAGGGAAAAGUAUCCCCUGAAUAAAUUGGCUAAGUUGUUCAUCACGAAGAUUGUGAAGUAUCAUGGAGUUCCAAUGAAUGUUAUUCUGAUCGAGAUCCAAGAUUUACUUCUAAGUUUUGGGUAGCUUUUCAGGAAGCUCUUGGUACGAAACUGCUUUACAGCACUGCUUAUCAUCCUCAAACUGAUGGACAAUCAGAGAGGACUAUGCAGACGUUGGAGGAUAUGUUGAGAUCUUCAGUGUUACAAUUUGGUGAUUCUUGGCAUGAUCGCCUAGACUUGAUGGAAUUUGCCUACAAUAAUAGUUUUCAUUCGAGCAUUGGUAUGUCACAAUUUGAGGCACUUUAUGGUAGAGCUUGUCGUACGUCAUUGUGUUGGUCAGAGGUUGGCGAAAGAGUGUUAGAAGGCCCAGAGAUUGUGGAUGAGACUACUCAAAAUGUUCAGGUGAUUAAGUCUAACCUGAAAGCGGCCCAGGAUCGACAAAAGAGUUUAGCAGAUAGACAUGCUAUUGAUCGAGUAAAUGAUGUGGGUAAUUUGGUAUUCUUGAAAUUGUCACCUUGGAGAGGUGUAGUGCGGUUUGGAAAGAAAGGCAAGCUAAGUCCUAGGUACAUAGGACCAUAUGAGAUCACUGAGAGGAUUGGUGAAGUUGCUUACAGAUUGGAGUUGCCUCCGGAGUUAUCUAAAGUACAUAAUGUGUUUCAUGUCUCGAUGCUUUGACAUUAUGUUUCAGAUCCUUUACAUGUGAUUCCUCCUCAACCUUCAGAGAUUAAUUCGGAUUUGACGUAUGAUGAGGAACCAGUGACUAUCUUGGAUUGGAAAGACAAGGUUCUAAGGAAUAAGACAGUGAGCUUGGUAAAAGUAUUGUGGAGGAACCACUCAGUGGAAGAAGCCACUUGGGAGACGGAAGAUCGAAUGAGGGAGAUGUAUCCGAGGUUGUUUUAUGAGUAUUAGUGUGGUGACUGGUUGUAUGAAUUUCGAGGACGAAAUUCUAUCAGGAGGGGAGAUUGUCACAGCCCGUCCCGAGAUUUUAUUUAUUGAGGUUGUGAAAUGACGAAAUUAUCCUUGACAGGUGCUAAGGUAUGUGUGUGACAUAUUAUUGAACAAUGCAUAUUUCCUUAAGUUUUGGAAAGUUUGAAUUUUGAUUAAAGGUUGUAUGUAUUUUGUGUGGUUAGGGACUUAAGAAAAAUUGAUGGUGAUUGUUUUGGGAUGGACCACACACACGAGACACAUUCUUCUUCCUCGUGCCCUCUCUCUCUCCUCCUUCUCUGUCACUCUUCUCUCUCUCUUCCUUCGAAACUGUACGGACCACACCCAAGGACCAUAAAAACUUCAUGGAUCGAAGUGGAGAUUAGCACCAUUGUGUUCGUGAGUGCCCUACGAACUCAAAGGUACAAUUUUCAGGUAAGAAACCCUUCGUUUUCACGUUGAAAACUCAAGGUCCGAAUUGAGUACUAUUCAUGAACUUUGUAAUGGUUGGUUUUUAGGACAAUCCAAGCUCAUAGUGAGCUCUAGGAAGUUCCCACGAAGCUCGGGGAUGUUUCGUUUGGAAGUUUUGGAUGUCGGGACACCCUAGUUCGAAGGUGGCUGGUUUUGGUGAAGUUUCCCGACGUGAUUUUCAAAGGUUUUGAGGCUCCAAAGAGGUAUAGCCUUCUUCCCCUCAUGAUUUAGGACAUUUUGGUGAAAAUUUCAUGGAAAAUGGUUGAGAAUUGAGCGAGAAAAGGGCGAUUACAGUUCUGCCCAGUUUCCGGCACCGGCGAGUUUUUUCGAUGACUGGAGGUAGGGGAUGAUGCACGUGGGGGGCGCGUGGACUCGUGCCUAUUCCGAUGCGUGGGGGCGCGUGCAGCCUCGAAUUUUUGUCUUCUAAAAAUACCUCGACGUCCGUGACGUCGAGUAGGUCAUUGUGGUAUAUUCAUAUACCCAAAUUGAGCAUCAUAUGAGAAGUUAUUACGAAUUGUCGGUUAUGUGCUUUAAUUAACGUUUUUAUAGUUGUUUCGCAUAUAGGUGAUACCUAUCCCGAGGACGAGCGCAUCCAGGGAUGUCACGGGGGUUACGACCCUUCAACCUAUCAGUGAGUGGGUAGUUAUUUUCUGUUAUUACCUAUAUACUACUGAAUUUACCAGAAAUUGAAUUUAAAUAAAAGUAUGUUUUUAAAAUGCCAUGCAUGCAUAUUAUGAAUUAUAUGAAUUCGUAAUUGAUGCAUAUAUAUAUAUGAAAUGGUGCUGUGGAUGCACAGGUGAGUAUCAGGUGAGUUUUAUGUUAUUCAUAUGAUUUAUUGUAAUGUGAAUUGUGUUGAGAGCUCAUAACCUGCACCCCUGGUAUUAGUGCUUAUAAUAUUCACCGCACCGCACGCUCACUUUGGAUCCAAGUAGGUGCAUGUCGUACAGACCACGAGAGGGUUUCGACAUGCUAGUCGUACAAAUCACUAGUGGUGGUUCCGACUGGUAGGUGACCUUAGAUUAUGUGCACAUAUGAUUGAUAAGGGAAGCACUAGAGCAUAUUAUUACACUAUUCUUGUCGUACAGACUACUUCAGGUAGUUCCGACUUAUGUGCAGAGUAGUGCCGUACAGGUCACCGUGGUGACUCCGAUUGGUUUGGAUAUUGAGCUAUGGAAUUAACCGUACAGGACCAAC